UACAGGGGGUGCAAACGUUGCUCGGAAUCAUUGGGCGUAAAGCGCACGUAGGCGGUUCGUUAUGUCGGAUGUGAAAGCCCUUGGCUUAACCGAGGAAGUGCAUCCGAAACUGGCGAGCUAGAGUACUAAAGAGGAUCGCGGAAUUCCCCGGUGUAGAGGUGAAAUUCGUAGAUAGUCGGGAGGAACACCGGUGGCGAAGGCGGCGAUCUGGGUAGAUACUGACGCUGAGGUGCGAAAGCGUGGGGGAGCAAACAGG
rnacentral:rRNA from 1 species